rnacentral:snoRNA from 2 species
UGGAACAUGAUGAAGAACCAUUGGUCCGUGUUUCUGAUCAUCUCGUGAUGAAACUACAAUGAAGCACUCAUACUUCUGAUUCCA